GAUGAACGCUAGCGGGAGGCUUAACACAUGCAAGUCGAGGGGCAGCACGAGGUAGCAAUACUUUGGUGGCGACCGGCGCACGGGUGAGUAACAGGUAUGCAACUUACCCUGUACUGGGGGAUAACCCGGAGAAAUUCGGACUAAUACCCCAUAAUGUUAUCGGGAGGCAUCUUUUGAUAAUUAAAAUUACGAUGGUACAGGAUGGGCAUGCUCAACAUUAGCUAGUUGGUAGGGUAACGGCUUACCAAGGCUACGAUGUUUAGGGGGCCUGAGAGGGUGAUCCCCCACACUGGUACUGAGACACGGACCAGACUCCUACGGGAGGCAGCAGUGAGGAAUAUUGGUCAAUGGGCGCAAGCCUGAACCAGCCAUCCCGCGUGCAGGAAGACGGCGCUAUGCGUUGUAAACUGCUUUUCUGGAGGAAGAAAC
rnacentral:rRNA from 1 species